UUCCGGUUGAUCCCGCCGGACCUGACUGCUAUCGGAUUGAUACUAAGCCAUGCGAGUCUUUGUAGUAAUACAAGGCAGACGGCUCAGUAACACGUAGUCAACCUACCCUAUGGACAAGAAUAAUCUCGGGAAACUGGGCAUAAUUCUUGAUAGAUCAUAAUGCCUGGAAUGGUUUAUGGUUAAAAUGAUUCGUCGCCAUAGGAUGGGACUGCGGCCUAUCAGCUUGUUGGUGAGGUAAUGGCCCACCAAGGCGAUUACAGGUACGGGCUCUGAGAGGAGAAGCCCGGAGAUGGGUACUGAGACACGGACCCAGGCCCUAUGGGGCGCAGCAGGCGAGAAAACUUUGCAAUGUGCGAAAGCACGACAAGGUUAAUCCGAGUGAUUUCUGCUAAAGAAAUCUUUUGCCAGUCAUAAAACCACUGGUGAAUAAGGGGUGGGCAAGUUCUGGUGUCAGCCGCCGCGGUAAAACCAGCACCUCAAGUGGUCAGGAUGAUUAUUGGGCCUAAAGCAUCCGUAGCCGGCUUUGUAAGUUUUCGGUUAAAUCCAUGUGCUCAACGCAUGGGCUGCCGAAAAUACUGCAUGGCUAGGGAGUGGGAGAGGUAGACGGUACUCAGUAGGAAGGGGUAAAAUCCUUUGAUCUAUUGAUGACCACCUGUGGCGAA
rnacentral:rRNA from 1 species